UACGGGGGGCGCAAGCGUUGUUCGGAUUUACUGGGCGUAAAGGGCGCGUAGGCGGUAGCACAAGUCCGUUGUGAAAUCUCCGGGCUUAACUCGGAACUGCCUUCGAUACUGCGGGUCUCGAGUCCGGGAGAGGUGAGUGGAAUUCCUAGUGUAGAGGUGAAAUUCGUAGAUAUCAGGAAGAACACCAAUGGCGAAGGCAGCUCUCUGGGACGGUACUGACGCUGAGACGCGAAAGCGUGGGGAGCGAACAGG
rnacentral:rRNA from 1 species